rnacentral:lncRNA from 1 species
GGCAAGGGGACCGUGCCCUGCCCAGGGGCGGGCAGCACCCACAGACCCAGCAGCGCCUGGGUCUCUACCUGGCUUUCCGCAUCCAAUAGCCUCCACAAGGCCCCAAUGAAUGCUGAGCAGGUCCAGUACUGUGGCCAAGAGAACAUCACCUCCCCAGCCCUGGGCGCACAGACAGGGACCUGGGCCAACAGCACAACGGAAGCGUAGGUUCCUGACACAGGUGGGUGCUGGGCAGGUAGAGACUAUGGGUGACUUUCAGCUCAGUUUGCAGCUGCCUGCGCCUCCCUGAGACAAAACCACCAGAGGUGGACAUACAGGCCCUGCAGGUGCCUGCAGGACUCUGGCUGUCGGAAGCCAGACAAAGGGCCCAGGCCAGGCGCUCCAGAGCUCCUCAGCUGCCCACCCGCAUCGCCGUGACCGCCAUCCUCUCCGCCGUCUCCUGAGGCGCCGCAGCGAUGCCGGCACCUGCGCCAGGGAGCAGCCGUGAGGCCUGAGUGAUGACACGGGGCCACACCCACAGGCGUGCAGGGCACAAUGCUGGCUGUUACUGUGAUGCACGCCUGCGUGUUUCCCAGGCUCAUGAGACCCAGAAAUCCUGCCCUGAUGAACAUCGUGUGAGACUAAUGCUUCCUGGAAUGUAUUUUUGAAAAAUCUGAACAAUGGGAAAACUAAUGGAGUUUGGAGUUGAACUCUAGAUCUUUGGGCGGCUUCCUGCCAUUUUUGGUGUGGGUGGUAUAUUUCAUUAAGCAAAUUUUUUUGUUUUUGGAAAGAAUGCAUGGGUGGUAAAAUACUUCUUUUGCUCUCAAAGUUAAACUGAGUUUGGCUGAGCUUACAACAAGUCUAAAUUCUUUCUCUCCAAAUCCCUACAUUCACUGCCUUUUAAAUUUAGUGUCACGUAAAGGCUUCAGUGUCAAUCUGAUUCUCUUCUCUCUGUAAGUCACCCUGCCCCCUACAGGGACUGUAGUAUUUUCCUCUACGUGGAACUGAAAGCACAGACGGUUUGCAUGUCUGGGGUCUGGGGUCUGCUGCCCCUGGGGUGUGGUUGGGGAACUGUCCUGUAUUAUCCAUCCGGCUGCUGCCCUCCGCAUGCACUUUGCGUUAGUCAGCUGUUCCCAUGUUAACGCUGUGUGACAAGCCAGCCCAAACGCCG